CUCGUAGGCGGUUCGUCGCGUCCGGUGUGAAAGUCCAUCGCUUAACGGUGGAUCUGCGCCGGGUACGGGCGGGCUGGAGUGCGGUAGGGGAGACUGGAAUUCCCGGUGUAACGGUGGAAUGCGUAGAUAUCGGGAAGAACACCAAUGGCGAAGGCAGGUCUCUGGGCCGUUACUGACGCUGAGGAGCGAAAGCGUGGGGAGCGAACAAG
rnacentral:rRNA from 1 species